GUCUGAGACCCCGAAACUAGACGAGCUACUCCGAAGCAGUCUAAAAGGACUAACCCGUCUCUGUGGCAAAAGAGUGGGAAGACUUCCGAGUAGAGGUGAAAAGCCUACCGAGCCUAGUUAUAGCUGGUUGCUUAAGAAAAGAAUAUGAGUUCAGCCUUAUAAGUUUCUCAAAAAUCAAAAUGAAAGAAUAAAGUAACACAUAAGAGUUAGUCGAAGGGGGUACAGCUCCUUCGAAAAAGAACACAACCUUACCCAGGUAAAUAAGGAUUAUACUAAAAAAGGACAUGACUUUCAACAGUGGGCCCGAAAGCAGCCACCUCUAAUAGAAAGCGUUAAAGCUCAAGAACAGCCACACCAAAAAUAAAAAUAACCACUCCUAAUUUCCUAAUAAUAUUAAGCUACCCUAUUUUAUAGGAGAAAUUAUGCUAAAAUGAGUAAUAAGAGAAACUAGACCCUCUCCGGGCACACGUGUAAAUUAGAGCGGACAAACCACUGACAACUAACGGACCCAAAAAAGAGGGUAAAACAACAAAACUCAAUAAACAAGAAAAACCUAUUAAAACAACCGUUAACCCAACACAGGAGUGCCACUUAAGGAAAGACUAAAAGGGGAAGAAGGAACUCGGCAAACACAAACCUCGCCUGUUUACCAAAAACACCGCCUCCUGCAAAUAGAAUGUAUUGGAGGUCCUGCCUGCCCAGUGACAAUAGGUUCAACGGCCGCGGUAUUUUGACCGUGCAAAGGUAGCGUAAUCACCUGUCUUUUAAAUAAAGACCUGUAUGAAUGGCAAGACGAGGGUUUUACUGUCUCCUCCCCCCAGUCAAUGAAAUUGAUCUACCCGUGCAGAAGCGGGUAUAAAAACAUAAGACGAGAAGACCCUAUGGAGCUUUAGGCACACAUCAAAUAUGUAAAAAACCAAAUCUUCCAAAUAGGCCUAAAAAAUGAGAAAAACAAGUAUUAAUGAUUAAUUGCCUUCGGUUGGGGCGACCACGGGGAAAAAUAAAACCCCCACAUGGAAUGGGUAAAAUUAUCCUAAGCCAAGAAAAACAAUUCUAAGCAACAAAAUUUUUGACCAAUAAACGACCCAGGGACAACAUCCCUGAGCAAUGAACCAAGUUACCCUAGGGAUAACAGCGCAAUCCUUUCCCAGAGCCCAUAUCAACGAAAGGGUUUACGACCUCGAUGUUGGAUCAGGGCAUCCUAACGGUGCAGCCG
rnacentral:rRNA from 1 species